rnacentral:rRNA from 1 species
UGCAGUUAGUAGGGCGAAAGGGGUGAGGAACGCGUGAGUAACCCUAGCCCCCGAAAGUUGGGAAUAACAAGUUGGAAACGACUGCUAAUACCUGAUGCGUAUUGUUUUUUCGGCAUACGAGAAAACAAUUUAAAGAUUUAUCGGCUUGGGGGAUGGGCUCGCGUCCCGAUUAGGUAGUUGGUGAGGUAACGGCCCACCAAGCCGACGAUGGGUAGCUGGUCUGAGAGGAUGGUCAGCCACACUAGGACUGAGACACUGCCCAGACUCCUACGGGAGGCUGCAGUCGAGAAUCUUCCGCAAUGCGCGAAAGCGUGACGGAGCAAAUGCCGCGUGCCGGAUGAAGGUCUUCGGAUCGUAAACGGCUGUCAGAUGGGACGAAUAAAGUGACGGUACCAUCAAAGGAAGCCACGGCUAACUACGUGCCAGCAGCCGC